CAGUUUAUCCUGGCUGUAGCCAAACCAGUACGCAACAGUAUAGGCUGUCUUUUGAGUUCAUAUAUUUAUUUAUUGACAGGCGAUGCCGUUUGAAAACUAAGGUUGCUGCCUUUUCUACACAACUAGCUUGUUGAAUUGUAAGAGGGAACGCCUGGAAAGGCGGGGUAAACGAAGGCCUGCUGGCCCAUCUAGCCCUGCUCCUUCCCGGAUCACAAGGCACGAGGGCCCCGGUGUCACACUAGUUUCUGAAGCAGCUUGGAACAGCCCACACUGCCGUGGUCAUGUAGAACCCCUCAAAGAUGGGCCAGCUUUACUGCAGGAACACCGUUGAGGGUCAGGGCAGGGAGAGCGCUCACAACCUGAGACUGGGGGAAAGCAGAGAUGGCUGCUUGUACAGACGGGAUCACGGUACAGAUGCUGCCAUGGGAGGCUGCAAGAGGUAUUCACAUGUCAGGGUUGAGACCUGGCAACCCUACGGACCAUGUGACGCAGUCACGGCCACGUUGAACCAAUGGGCAUGGGCCUCCGAACCCCUUAAUGCAGGCCUGAACACAAUCUUACCUGUAGCAGGUUCUUAAAGUAAGCUCAGAGCUAUCAUACCUGUAAUGCAUCACACCUGAACUCCAGUCUCUCCCAGUGUGACAUGGCCAAGCAUCCGCCAUCACGCUGAUCUGUCAUUGUAUCCUGCGUCAUGCUCAAACUACACCGCCGCAAACCAUUAUAUGAGUGUUUAAUGGUUUAGUGUUUACAAUUAACAUAUGGCCUGUUGGACGAGGAAUGACAAUAGUUAUUGAGUUUGAUGUAUUGGUCUAAACUCUACUAAAAGCAUCGAUAUGCGGCGGUAUUUGUGGGUGAAACACUCUCAGAAUGCGUAUGCAGCUGCGUGUUCCAAGCACCGUAAUUAGCAACAGUGUAGUGGCAGCGAGCUUCCCGGA